AGCGAACGUUAGCGGCGGGCCUAACACAUGCAAGUCGCACGAGAAAAGGGCUUCGGCUCUGAGUAAAGUGGCGGACGGGUGAGUAACACGUGGGUAAUCUACCUUUCAGCGGGGGAUAACAGUCCGAAAGGAUUGCUAAUACCGCGUACGUCGCCCGGGUCUUCGGAUCUGGGUGGGAAAGCCGACCUCUCCAUGGAAGUUGGCACUGAAAGAGGAGCCCGCGGCCCAUCAGCUAGUUGGUAGGGUAAUGGCCUACCAAGGCUUAGACGG
rnacentral:rRNA from 1 species